rnacentral:rRNA from 1 species
UACGUAGGGUGCGAGCGUUGUCCGGAAUUAUUGGGCGUAAAGAGCUUGUAGGCGGUCUGUCGCGUCUGCUGUGAAAAUCCGGGGCUCAACCCCGGACUUGCAGUGGGUACGGGCAGACUAGAGUGUGGUAGGGGAGACUGGAAUUCCUGGUGUAGCGGUGAAAUGCGCAGAUAUCAGGAGGAACACCAAUGGCGAAGGCGGGUCUCUGGGCCGGUAUUGACGCUGAGGCGCGAAAGCCAGGGGAGCAAACGGG